GACGAACGCUGGCGGCGUGCCUAAUACAUGCAAGUAGAACGCUGAAGAGAGGAGCUUGCUCUUCUUGGAUGAGUUGCGAACGGGUGAGUAACGCGUAGGUAACCUGCCUUGUAGCGGGGGAUAACUAUUGGAAACGAUAGCUAAUACCGCAUAACAAUGGAUGACACAUGUCAUUUAUUUGAAAGGGGCAAUUGCUCCACUACAAGAUGGACCUGCGUUGUAUUAGCUAGUAGGUGAGGUAACGGCUCACCUAGGCGACGAUACAUAGCCGACCUGAGAGGGUGAUCGGCCACACUGGGACUGAGACACGGCCCAGACUCCUACGGGAGGCAGCAGUAGGGAAUCUUCGGCAAUGGGGGCAACCCUGACCGAGCAACGCCGCGUGAGGGAAGAAGGGUUUCGGAUCGUAAAGCUCUGUUGUAAGUCAAGAACGAGUGUGAGAGUGGAAAGUUCACACUGUGACGGUAGCUUACCAGAAAGGGACGGCUAACUACGUG
rnacentral:rRNA from 1 species